rnacentral:rRNA from 1 species
ACUCAAAUGAAUUGACGGGGACCCGCACAAGCAGUGGAGUAUGUGGUUUAAUUCGAAGCAACGCGAAGAACCUUACCAGGUCUUGACAUCGGAGUGAAAACACUAGAGAUAGUGACCCUCUUCGGAGCACUCCAGACAGGUGGUGCAUGGUUGUCGUCAGCUCGUGUCGUGAGAUGUUGGGUUAAGUCCCGCAACGAGCGCAACCCUUGAUCUUAGUUGCCAGCACAUAAUGGUGGGCUCUCUAAGAUGACUGCCGGUGACAAACCGGAGGAAGGUGGGGAUGACGUCAAAUCAUCAUGCCCCUUAUGACCUGGGCUACACACGUACUACAAUGGCCGGUACAACGGGGAGCGAAAUCGCGAGAUGGAGCCAAUCCUUAUAAGCCGGUCUCAGUUCGGAUUGCAGGCUGCAACUCGCCUGCAUGAAGUCGGAAUUGCUAGUAAUCGCGGAUCAGCAUGCCGCGGUGAAUACGUUCCCGGGUCUUGUACACACCGCCCGU